UCUGUGGAUGGUGGAGCUCAGA
rnacentral:miRNA from 1 species